rnacentral:misc_RNA from 1 species
GAUGAAGAACGCAGCGAAGUGCGAUACGUAAUGUGAAUUGCAGAAUUCAGUGAAUCAUCGAGUCUUUGAACGCACAUUGCGCCCCCUGGUAUUCCGGGGGGCAUGCCUGUCCGAGCGUCAUUGCUGCCCUCAAGCACGGCUUGUGUGUUGGGCCUCCGUCCUCCUCCCGGGGGACGGGCCCGAAAGGCAGCGGCGGCACCGCGUCCGGUCCUCGAGCGUAUGGGGCUUCGUCACCCGCUCUUGUAGGCCCGGCCGGCGCUUGCCGACACAUCAAUCUUUUUUCCAGGUUGACCUCGGAUCAGGUAGGGAUACCCGCUGAACUUAAGCAUAUCAAUAAGCGGAGGA